ensembl:lncRNA
GCAUUCAGUCAUGUCUAGCAACUUAACAAAUGUUUUCAGUAUUUAGGAUAUAUAAAAAUGAAGGUAUUUUGAAGAUCACAGAUUUCUUUUGCAAACGGAUUAGGCUUAGAUGGUUUUAGACUUUAUUGCACUAGACGGGAGAGUAGUGCGUAGUGUAAGUGCAUAGUGUAAGUGUACAGUACUUCAUUUAGGACACUACUUUAAUAUUUACUCUCCGAAGCGUGUUUUCAGUACAGAAGUAAUGUAAUGAGUAAACGCACCGUGCAGACCAACUAAUCGAAAAUGAGAUUCGUUUCCAAUGAUUUUCAGAAUCGAUUAUUAUCGAUUAGUUGUUGCAGCUCUAAAUAUAAUAUAACAUUUGCAAUCACUGUGAUGGAGAAAAUAUGGAAUGCAAAGUGCAAUCUUCUUUAUUGAUCUAUUUGUUUAUAUCCCUAUUCCAUUCAUUUCUACGGUUUAGUCAUCUGGUGGGCGUGGUUGAGUGCGCAGGUGCGUCAUUCAAACCGAGCGAGACAGCUCCUUUCAGGAUGGUUCCUACUAGGUCUGCUAAUGGGACCGCCCUCCUGACUGGCUGCCUAUAAAGUCACCCGCUCUAGCGGUGCUGAGCAGCGAGAUGUCACAGAGAAGAGUGUGUCCAGUUUGUCGGCGUUUCUACACCAACGUGCAGGCUCAUCUCGCCCAGAUUCAUCAGCAGGGUCCAGAGGAACGCUGGCUUCACCUGGCGGCAGCGAGCGAGCGGGUGAUAUGCGGGUGCUCUGGACUGCCCGGUGUCUGCAUGCGGCAGGAAAGGUUUCCGCCGGCUAGACUGCCACCUGUUCCACCUUCACCAGCUCGCCGGGGACACGGUCAGGAAGCUACUGCUCAGCGCCAAAAUAAAGCUGCAACAACUGCAAGCUUUCGGUGAGACGAACAAAUCUAAAAGUUGCAAAUGUUCUGAACUGAUCGAAAAGUAGCAAAACUCUCCGCAGAAUUUGAGCGGCUGCAAGCGCUAGUAGCCCGGAAAGAGUAGUGGCUCUGUGGGUGAGUACCUAAACUAUCUCUAGGCCUAUUUUUAUUGUGUGUGGGCGGCGGACUCCAGGUGGUCGCCCGGGGUGGACGUCCCAGGAUGAAAUUUGUUUUUCUUUCACUGAUCCCCCCCCCCUUUUUUUUCUCUUUUCCAGAGCCAAUGUUAAGUGUACACGGCUUGGCUGACAAGUCUCAGAGAUGUCCCCAAAGCCGCGGCCAACGGCAAGCAGGAGAGGAGACACGUCGAGCGCUUCCUUCACUUUAUGUGGGCCAACACAGACAGUCCCCUGGCAGCUGCUGGCUCAUUACCCAAAAACACUUAAAAUUUAACAUAGAAGCCAAUACUCACAUCAACCUCUGAACCCAGUUGGAGAUAGAAAAAAAGACACCAGCCGUGAGUGAGAAGAAGCAAGGGUCCAGAUUUAUUGUUCCGUUCCACCACACGAGAUCCACACCAAUGAGAAUUCUCAGAAGUGAUCUGAUACCCUGAGCUUAAGCUCCAGUAUUUAUACUGUAAUUACACAGUAAAUAACCCAUAUGUUUCAAGAAGACUAUGAUCUCACUACCAAUAGG